rnacentral:rRNA from 1 species
UACGAAGGGGGCUAGCGUUGCUCGGAAUUACUGGGCGUAAAGCGCACGUAGGCGGAUGUGUCAGUCAGGGGUGAAAUCCCGGAGCUCAACUUCGGAACUGCCUCUGAUACAGCACGUCUUGAGUUCGAGAGAGGUGGGUGGAAUUCCUAGUGUAGAGGUGAAAUUCGUAGAUAUUAGGAAGAACACCGGUGGCGAAGGCGGCCCACUGGCUCGAUACUGACGCUGAGGUGCGAAAGCGUGGGGAGCAAACAGG